AAGUCGUAACAAGGUUUCCGUAGGUGAACCUGCGGAAGGAUCAUUACCGAGAGAGGGGCUUCGUGCCCCCGGGGGUUUCGGCCCCCAACUCUUCACCCUUUGCGUAUCUACCUUUGUUGCUUUGGCGGACCCGAGGAACCUCUCGCUCCGGCUCUUAGGUCGGUGAGCGUCCGUCAGAGGCCCAUUUAAUUCUACUUAUUCGUGAUGUCCGAGUCCAAACACAAUGAAUAAAAACUUUCAACAACGGAUCUCUUGGUUCCA
rnacentral:misc_RNA from 1 species